CGGGAAUUUUGGGCAAUGGGCGAAAGCCUGACACAGCAACGCCGCGUGAGGGAUGAAGUAUUUCGGUAUGUAAACCUCGAAAGAAUGGGAAGAAUAAAUGACGGUACCAUUUAUAAGCUCCGGCUAACUACGUGCCAGCAGCCGCGGUAAUACGUAGGGAGCAAGCGUUGUUCGGAUUUACUGGGCGUAAAGGGCGCGUAGGCGGCGCGGUAAGUCACUUGUGAAAUCUCUGAGCUUAACUCAGAACGGCCAAGUGAUACUGCUGUGCUAGAGUGCGGAAGAGGCAACCGGAAUUCUUGGUGUAGCGGUGAAAUGCGUAGAUAUCAAGAGGAACACCUGAGGCGAAGGCGGGUUGCUGGGCCGACACUGACGCUGAUGCGCGAAAGCCAGGGGAGCAAACG
rnacentral:rRNA from 1 species